rnacentral:rRNA from 1 species
GACGAACGCUGGCGGCGUGCCUAACACAUGCAAGUCGAACGGAACUGUUUUGAAAGAUUUCUUCGGAAUGAAUUUGAUUUAGUUUAGUGGCGGACGGGUGAGUAACGCGUGAGUAACCUGCCUUCAAGAGGGGGAUAACAUUCUGAAAAGAAUGCUAAUACCGCAUGACAUAUCGGAAUCACAUGAUUUUGAUAUCAAAGAUUUUAUCGCUUGAAGAUGGACUCGCGUCCGAUUAGUUAGUUGGUGAGGUAACGGCUCACCAAGACCGCGAUCGGUAGCCGGACUGAGAGGUUGAACGGCCACAUUGGGACUGAGACACGGCCCAGACUCCUACGGGAGGCAGCAGUGGGGGAUAUUGCGCAAUGGGGGCAACCCUGACGCAGCAACGCCGCGUGAAGGAUGAAGGUUUUCGGAUUGUAAACUUCUUUUAUUAAGGACGAAA